GAUGAAGAACGCAGCGAAAUGCGAUAAGUAGUGUGAAUUGCAGAAUUCAGUGAAUCAUCGAAUCUUUGAACGCACAUUGCGCCCCUUGGUAUUCCAUGGGGCAUGCCUGUUCGAGCGUCAUUUGUACCUUCAAGCCUUGCUUGGUGUUGGGUGUUUGUCUCGCCUCUGCGCGCAGACUCGCCUCAAAACAAUUGGCAGCCGGCGUAUUGAUUUCGGAGCGCAGUACAUCUCGCGCUUUGCACUCAGAACGACGACGUCCAAAAGUACAUUUUUACACUCUUGACCUCGGAUCAGGUAGGACUACCCGCUGAACUUAAGCAUAUCAAUAAGCGGAGGA
rnacentral:misc_RNA from 1 species